rnacentral:rRNA from 1 species
GACGAACGCUGGCGGUGUGCUUAACACAUGCAAGUCGAACGGAAAGGCCUGCUUUCCCUUGUGGAUUGCGGGUACUCGAGUGGCGAACGGGUGAGUAACACGUGAGUGAUCUGCCCCCAACUUGGGUAUAAGCCUGGGAAACUGGGUCUAAUUCCCGAUAGGACUGCAGGGUGGUGCCUGUGGUGGAAAACGAUUUUCUAGUGGUUGGGGAUGAGCUCGCGGCCUAUCAGCCUGUUGGUGGGGUAAUGGCCUACCAAGGCGGCGACGGGUAGCCGGCCUGAGAGGGUGGACGGCCACAUUGGGACUGAGAUACGGCCCAGACUCCUACGGGAGGCAGCAGUGGGGAAUAUUGCACAAUGGGCGGAAGCCUGAUGCAGCGACGCCGCGUGGGGGAUGACGGCCUUCGGGUUGUAAACUCCUUUCGACCGCGAGGAAGCCACCUGGUUGGAAGGGUGGUGACGGUAGUGGUAGAAGAAGCACCGGCUAACUACGUG